rnacentral:rRNA from 1 species
GAACUAUGCCUGAGUAGGAUGAAGCCGGAGGAAACUCUGGUGGAGGUCCGAAGCGUUUUUGACGUGCAAAUCAAUCGUCAGACUUGGGUAUAGGGGCGAAAGACUAAUCGAACCAUCUAGUAGCUGGUUCCCUUCGAAGUUUCCCCCAGGAAAGCUGGUGCCAUGUUUGACAGUUUUAUCUGGUAAAGCGAAUGAUUAGAGGCAUUGGGGACGAAUUGUCCUCGACCUAUUCUCAAACUUUAAAUGGGUAAUGUACCGUUGUACUUCUUGAUAUUCAUGAGUGCUCGGUCAAAUGCAAUGGCACCAAGUGGGCCAUUUUUGGUAAGCAGAACUGGCGAUGUGGGAUGAACCAAACGUUGAGCUAGGAUGCCCAAAGUGCUUCUCAUGAGAUACCAUGAAAGGUGUCAGUCGAUAUUGACAGCAGGACGGUGGCCGCAGAAGUAGGAAUCCGCUAAGGAGUGUGUAACAACUCACCUGCCGAAUCGACUGGUCCUGAAAAUGGAUGGCGCUGGAGACGUAUAUCCAUGCUCGACCGUCAAUGCCAACGAAAGCGAUUGCUAUAUGGCUUGACGUGUAGAAGGGCGAUUGCCGUGGCGUCGAAACUUGCACCGUGAGGUGGGGUAGAGCUGCGGCAUGUGCAGAUCUUGGUGGUAGUAGCAAGUAUUCAAAUGAGAGCAUUGAAGACUGAAGUGGAGUAAGGUUCCAUGUGAACAGCAUUUGGACAUGGAUCAGCCGAUCCUAAGAGAACGUGUAAGUUCGUGAUUAAGCGCGUCGCCUUGUGCGUCGCAAUCGAAAGGGAAUCGGGUUAAUAUUCCCGAGCCAGGAUACGGAAUGUGCCUGAUUAUUCGGAAGUACCUUGUGUGCUUUCGACUUCAGGCAAAAGCGGCAACGCCAACAAACCCAGAGAUUAACUAUGCGGAGUCCGGGGAAGAGUUUUCUCUUCUUUGUAAGGGAUGUUAUCCCUGGAAACAGAUUGUCUGGCGAUAGGGUACGCAUCCCGUAAUGCAACGCGAUUCCUGCGAUGUACCGUGCGCUUCGUAUAGUGCUUGAAAAUCUGGGGGCGAGUUUGUUCAGGCCGUACCUGUUCGUACUGAUUUCCGCAGCAGGUCUCCAAGGUGAGCAGCCUCUAGUCGAUGGGACAAAGUAGACAAGGGAAGUCGGCAAAUUAGAUCCGUAACUUCGGAAAAAGGAUUGGCUCUAAAGGCUGAGUUGGUCGGGCGGUUGCGUGAAGCUGGGAGCGACGCUUUGACUCUGUCUCAGACUCCGUUCUCGCAAGGGAUGCGGAAUCGAGGACGGAACUUUGUCUACGCUCUCUGUGGACCGCGGUCGCUAUGCCACCCGUGCGGUAUCUAAACGUAAGUCUCGAGCCGUGCGACGUGGAUCCGAUCAGCGUUUAACAGCUGACCUAGAACUGGUAUGGACAAGGGGAAUCCAACUGUUUAAUUAAAACAAAGCAUUGCGAUAGCUGUAAUCGGUGUUGACGCGAUGUGAUUUCUGCCCAGUGCUCUGAAUGUUAAAGUGAAGGAACUCAUCCAAGCGCGAGUUAACGGCGGAAGUAACUAUGACUUUCUUAAGGUAGCCAAAUGCCUCGUCAUCUAAUUAGUGACGUGCAUGAAUGGAUUAUUGAGAUUCCUUCUGUCCCUGUCUGCAACCUAGCGAAACCACAGCCAAGGGAACGGGCUUGGAGAGUAACAGCGGGGAAAGAAGACCCUGUUGAGCUUGACUCUAGUCAGUCUUUGUGAAGAAACAUGAUGGGUGUAGAAUAGGUGGGAGGACGCGACAGUGAAAUACCACUACUAUCAUCGUUUCUUUACUUACUCAAUUGAUCAGGGAGCGUGAAUUCGCUAUUUGCGAUGUAUGAUUAUUCCUCUAGUGGAAUAAGUGUCUGGUUUGAGAACACAGACUGAUUGGGAGUUUGACUGGGGCGGUACAUCUGUUAAAAUCUAACGCAGGUGUCCUAAGGCAAUCUCAGCGUGGACAGAAACCUCGCAUAGAGCGAAAGGGCAAAAGAUUGCUUGAUCUUGAUUUUCAGUACGAAUAAAGACAAUGAAAGUUUGGCUUGUCGAUCCUUUUGAAUUUUACGAGUUUUAAGCAAGAGGUGUCAGAAAAGUUACCACAGGGAUAACUGGCU